CUGAAGGCUGGUAGAAGCUUGCUUACUUUUUCCUUGAAGUGAGAAAUGAAAAUAACUGUCUCCCCAAGAUAUCCCUGGGAUUCAGACUAAAUGGGGCUUGUAUUUGCAUUGAUACUAAGGAUGAAAUCAGGAUUGUCAGACUGCGAUAUGUGAAUUUGCACACAUACAGGGACUCAGAACAUAACUUCAAACAAGAAGCAC
rnacentral:lncRNA from 1 species